GAUGAAGAACUAGCGAAAUGCGAUAAGUAAUGUGAAUUGCAGAAUUCAGUGAAUCAUCGAAUCUUUGAACGCACAUUGCGCCCCUUGGUAUUCCGAGGGGCAUGCCUGUUCGAGCGUCAUUAUCACCCCUCAAGCUUUGCUUGGUGUUGGGGCCUGCUGUAAUAGGCAGCCCUUAAAAUCAGUGGCGGUGCUUCAAGGCUCUAAGCGUAGUAAUUCUCCUCGCUAUAGUGUCUAGUGGUUGCCAGCCAGAACCCCCCAAUUUUCAUGAUUGACCUCGGAUCAGGUAGGGAUACCCGCUGAACUUAAGCAUAUCAAUAAGCGGAGGA
rnacentral:misc_RNA from 1 species